rnacentral:rRNA from 1 species
UAUCUCUGUAGAGUCUGCAUAUCAAUAAGCGGAGGAAAAGAAACUAACAAGGAUUCCCCUAGUAACGGCGAGUGAAGCGGGAAGAGCUCAAAUUUGAAAUCUUCAAGGUUUGACCUUGACGAAUUGUAGUUUAAAGAAGUGUUUUCGGUUAGAGGAGUAGUAAAAGUUCUUUGGAAUAGGACAUCAUAGAGGGUGAGAAUCCCGUAUUUGACUAUUCUUUCUAGCUUUGUGAUACACUUUCAAAGAGUCGGAUUGUUUGGGAAUGCAGUCCAAAAUGGGUGGUAAAUUUCAUCUAAAGCUAAAUAUUGGCGAGAGGCCGAUAGCGAACAAGUACCGUGAGGGAAAGAUGAAAAGAACUUUGAAAAGAGAGUUAAACAGUACGUGAAAUUGUCAAAAGGGAAGCGUUUGACACCAGUGUUGUUUUUCCGAAAAUCAAUUAAAAAUUGAUUCAUGCCAGGUUGUAUUGACCUUAUCAGCUUGCAAUUUGGUUUUGGGUCUCUUUUUGAUGCACUUUUCGGUUAACAAGUCAACAUCAAUUUCCUUUGCUGUAAAAAGGUAAGAGGAAGGUGGCUUCAAUUUCGGUUGAAGUGUUUAUAGCCUUUUAUCUCUGCAGUCGGGGAGAUUGAGGUCUGCAGCGUAGAUCCUUCGGGGCUAGAUACAUUUAUGCUAAGUUAUAGCUUUUCAUAGACAACUUGUUGACUAUGUUUAGUCAUGUAGCUUACUCGUAAGUGCUAUUUUACCUACGCUUAGGAUGUUGAAGACUCUACAGAGAUA